GAACCUGUUGCCGAUAUUUUGGGAGCGCAUUAUUAUGGGUUCUUCAAUGCAAAAGUGAGGCUUUGUUAAGCAUGGCAUCAGAUGUGGCAGUAAAGAAGUUGCAACACCCUGUGCUAUUGCUUUGAAUUUGGUAAUCUCAAAUUUGAGUGCUACAAGUGAGAAGGCAGUUAUGGAAGCAUUGAAAGAAACAGAGACUUCCAUGCGUAUUGUUGGAAAUAGAAAAGAUUUUGCUGAAGGUGCAAAAAAAAUUGAAUAUUUUGAAGAGACGACUUUGCUUUUGAGCACAAUACUGUGGUGCUGGCCUCCUUCUAGGUUCCCUGUUGCUUUAUGUGAUUCUGUAGCAAGAAAACUUAUAGAGGAUGGAGAAGUAUUUCCACAAAUGUUUGUGCUUGCUCAAUGUCUAUUGAGAUCCCAAGCGAAUUGUUUAAAAGUGGUUGGUUUGUGUGGUGAAGCUCUUGUUGAUGCAAUAAUUUGUGGGAUGAAAGAAACUGGGCUGAGUUCUAAAUAAAUUGGGAACAACCAUGGGUCUUUGUCAGGGGAAGCAUGCCAGUCGGCUCUAAUUACUCGCAGGGCGGGUGAUAAUCAUAACAAGUUUUGGAAACAAGGAAUUGAUAGAAUUCUCCUUAAUCUUCCUGAUUGAAAAUAUUCAAGACCAAUUGUCUAAACCUGUCUUGUCAUUGAAAAAACAAAUAUCCAUGGUAAAAGAGGGAUUAAAAGCCAAUUAUCAUCUUGGUCUUGGGAGUUAUCUAUGAGACAUUCUUGGGUGGCUUACUAUUCACUGUGGAGAAAAUUUAAACCCUCAUACUCAUGGAACUUGAGUUUUGUGGAUACACUUGAAAAAUGGUGCCGAAUAUGUCAAAAGGAUAUUGCUGAUCCUUUUCAAGGCGAACCAGUAUCAAGGGCUGUUCUCGUGAUGAUUCAUUCUCCACGUAAUUCUAUCUCCUCGCAUGGUAGAUUCUUAUUAUUAGAUGUACUGAAUGCGAAAGGCUUGUCAUGCUUGAAAAGCUUAAUUUAAUACAUACUCUGGAUUAUACAUCAUCCCUAUAAAGUUAUGGAUCAUUUGAUAAACUUCAACUGGUUAUUAACUUAAUUGGGUUGACUUGUCUUUCAAGUUUACCAGAGUAUCAAAGAUGUAUCAUAUAGAGCAAAGGGAUAAAGGCAAUUGCUCUUCUUGUGAAACGAUGCUUGAUUCAAAUUCAUAAUUUAAAAUCUGGAUGCUAUUAUCGCUUUGAGAA